CAGGGGGACAACCCGCCGAAAGGCGGGCUAAACCCGCGUACAUGCCACCGGGGCAUCCCGGAGGCAGGAAAGGCUUCGGCCGGACAGGGAUGGGCAUGCGGCGCAUUAGGCAGUAGGCGGGGUAACGGCCCACCUAACCGACGACGCGUAGGGGUUCUGAGAGGAAGGUCCCCCACACUGGUACUGAGACACGGACCAGACUCCUACGGGAGGCAGCAGUGAGGAAUAUUGGUCAAUGGUCGGGAGACUGAACCAGCCAAGCCGCGUGAGGGAUGAAGGUACAGAGUAUCGUAAACCUCUUUUGUCAGGGAACAAAGGCGGGGGCGUGUCCCCGGAUGAGUGUACCUGAAGAAAAAGCAUCGGCUAACUCCGUGCCAGCAGCCGCGGUAAUACGGAGGAUGCGAGCGUUAUCCGGAUUUAUUGGGUUUAAAGGGUGCGCAGGCGGUCUGUUAAGUCAGCGGUCAAAGCCCGGGGCUCAACCCCGGCCCGCCGUUGAAACUGGCAGUCUCGAGUUGGAGAGAAGUAUGCGGAAUGCGCGGUGUAGCGGUGAAAUGCAUAGAUAUCGCGCAGAACUCCGAUUGCGAAGGCAGCAUGCCGGCUCCACACUGACGCUGAGGCACGAAAGCGUGGGUAUCGAACAGGAUUAGAUACCCUGGUAGUCCACGCAGUAAACGAUGAAUGCUGGCUGUCCAGGGGGGAUUGACCCCUGGGGGCGAAG
rnacentral:rRNA from 1 species